UAGGGAAUCUUGCGCAAUGGGCGAAAGCCUGACGCAGCCAUGCCGCGUGAAUGAUGAAGGUCUUAGGAUUGUAAAAUUCUUUCACCGGGGAAGAUAAUGACGGUACCCGGAGAAGAAGCCCCGGCUAACUUCGUGCCAGCAGCCGCGGUAAUACGAAGGGGGCUAGCGUUGCUCGGAAUUACUGGGCGUAAAGGGCGCGUAGGCGGAUGUUUAAGUCGGGGGUGAAAGCCCGGGGCUCAACCUCGGAAUUGCCUUCGAUACUGGACAUCUUGAGUACGGGAGAGGUGAGUGGAACUCCGAGUGUAGAGGUGAAAUUCGUAGAUAUUCGGAAGAACACCAGUGGCGAAGGCGACUCACUGGCCCGUUACUGACGCUGAGGCGCGAAAGCGUGGGGAGCAAACAGGAUUAGAUACCCUGGUAGUCCACGCUGUAAACGAUGAGUGCUAGUUGUCGGCAUGCAUGCAUGUCGGUGACGCAGCUAACGCAUUAAGCACUCCGCCUGGGGAGUACGGUCGCAAGAUUA
rnacentral:rRNA from 1 species